rnacentral:lncRNA from 1 species
GGAGGAGGCAGAAAGUGGGGUGACGAUUCUGGGCACCUUUGUGAGGGCACCGGAAGGGUCCUGAAAAGGCGGAGGUACCUGCAGUGCUCUAAGGUCCGGGCCACCAGAUAUGGAGGAUUAUAGAAGAGAUUUUAGCAAUGAGUUUUAUAGCAGAUUGUGGAUUGGAUGAACCAUAUUCAUUUGCAACAUGAUGUUUAGUACCAGGACUCUUCCCUGUCAUUGCCUUCAUAGGUUUCCUUCAAGAAGAGAAAUACAGCACAGUGCCUGGUCCAGUGGCUUGAUUUGAUGUUUCUACCUGGAACAUGUAUGUAAAACUUACACUAUUUUUAUCCUUAGAUUCUUAUAGUCCUUUUACAUAAACAUAAUUUAUUUAUCAAAGUAGAUCAUUUUUGUU